GACGAACGCUGGCGGCGUGCUUAACACAUGCAAGUCGAACGAGUGGCGAACGGGUGAGUAACACGUGGGUGACCUGCCCUGCACUUCGGGAUAAGCCUGGGAAACUGGGUCUAAUACCGGAUAGUGUGGGAUGGGCACGCGGCCUAUCAGCUUGUUGGUGGGGUAAUGGCUACCAAGGCGCGACGGGUAGCCGGCCUGAGAGGGUGGACGGCCACAUUGGGACGGAGACACGGCCCAGACUCCUACGGGAGGCAGCAGUGGGGAAUAUUGCACAAUGGGCGCAAGCCUGAUGCAGCCAUGCCGCGUGUAUGAAGAAGGCCUUCGGGUUGUAAAGUACUUUCGGCGAGGAGGCGUUACUCGCAGAAGAAGCACCGGCUAACUCCGUGCCAGCAGCCGCGGUAAUAC
rnacentral:rRNA from 1 species